CCGCUGAUGGAUGAGCCUGCGGCGCAUUAGCUAGUUGGUAGGGUAAAGGCCUACCAAGGCGACGAUGCGUAGCCGACCUGAGAGGGUGAACGGCCACACUGGGACUGAGACACGGCCCAGACUCCUACGGGAGGCAGCAGUGGGGAAUAUUGCACAAUGGGGGAAACCCUGAUGCAGCAACGCCGCGUGAGUGAUGAAGGUUUUCGGAUCGUAAAGCUCUGUCUUUGGGGAAGAUAAUGACGGUACCCAAGGAGGAAGCCACGGCUAACUACGUGCCAGCAGCCGCGGUAAUACGUAGGUGGCGAGCGUUAUCCGGAAUUAUUGGGCGUAAAGGGAGCGUAGGCGGAUAAUUAAGUGGGAUGUGAAAUACUCAGGCUCAACCUGGGGGCUGCAUUCCAAACUGAUUAUCUAGAGUGCAGGAGAGGAGAGUGGAAUUCCUAGUGUAGCGGUGAAAUGCGUAGAGAUUAGGAAGAACACCAGUGGCGAAGGCGACUCUCUGGACUGUAACUGACGCUGAGGCUCGAAAGCGUGGGGAGCAAACAGGAUUAGAUACCCUGGUAGUCCAUGCCGUAAACGAUGAAUACUAGGUGUGGGGGUUUCAACACCUCCGUGCCGCCGCUAACGCAUUAAGUAUUCCGCCUGGGGAGUACGGUCGCAAGAUUAAAACUCAAAGGAAUUGACGGGGACCCGCACAAGCAGCGGAGCAUGUGGUUUAAUUCGAAGCAACGCGAAGAACCUUACCUACACUUGACAUCCCUUGCAUUACCCUUAAUCGGGGAAAUCUCUUCGGAGACAAGGUGACAGGUGGUGCAUGGUUGUCGUCAGCUCGUGUCGUGAGAUGUUGGGUUAAGUCCCGCAACGAGCGCAACCCCAAUUGUUAGUUGCUACCAUUAAGUUGAGCACUCUAGCGAGACUGCCUGGGUUAACCAGGAGGAAGGUGGGGAUGACGUCAAAUCAUCAUGCCCCUUAUGUGUAGGGUUACACACGUGCUACAAUGGCAAGUACAGAGAGACGCAAAACCGUGAGGUCGAGCAAAUCCCUUAAAACUUGUCCCAGUUCGGAUUGUAGGCUGAAACUCGCCUACAUGAAGCCGGAGUUGCUAGUAAUCGCGAAUCAGAAUGUCGCGGUGAAUACGUUCCCGGGUCUUG
rnacentral:rRNA from 1 species